rnacentral:tRNA from 1 species
GUGGGUAUAGCUCAGCUGGAUAGAGCGUCCGCCUCCUAAGCGGAAGGUCUGCAGUUCAAAUCUGCAUACUCACACCA